rnacentral:rRNA from 1 species
GUCUGUGGCCACACCACCCUCAACAUGCCAGAAAUCUCUGAUCUCAGAAGCUAAGCAGGGUUGGGCCUGGUUAGUACUUGGACGGGAGAAAAAGUCAACAAAUAGCCUUCAGUCA